AUUUUGUUUGUAGCAAAACAACUUCUCCAAAUAUAAAACGUCCCUUUUUCGUCACUCCGCUUUACCUUUUUCUUUUUCUUUCUCACCUUCAAAUCUCCAUUUUCUCUUUCGUCGUGCCCCGCGAGGUAACAACAACACUCUCUGCACUCACAGAACCACAUUCACAACAAGAAAAGCUACACAUUACAUGGAAAGAGUAACCCAUUCUCGUCGACCAAGCAAGGCCGCCGUCACACUUUCCAACAACAGUGCUACCUUCUCCGGUACUAGCCUCUACGACGACGUCUACGGUGGCCCACCGAAGUUUGGCGCCUCAAACCUCUCGCCUCGGUUGGAAGACUACGCUGAGAUUUUCGGAAGCUUCCGCACCCCACGCGUCUCCUCUGUUCCGGUGCUGGAUCUUCCGCUGGUUCACGAGGCCGAGGCUUUCUUCGAUCCUCGAAGUGACGAUUUCGACUACACAGAAGUUUUCGGUGCCCUAGAUUUUGCGGUUCCGCAUGAGAACUUGUUUCAUCAACCUGGUGCUCUGAACGGUGAUUCCUCCGAAGAAGCCUGGACUCCGGCAGAAACUGAUUCGUUCUCUGGAGAGUCGGACCAUUACGAAAAUAAUCAAAGCUUUUCAAAUGGUGAUUUUUUCCAGUCCGUUGAUGGUAAUACGGAGUUCAACAUUUCGUAUCAUAAGGUCAAUGUUACAGGCAAUGACCAUAUGUCGAAGAGGAAAACUCACAUGACUGAGCUGCAUGCUGUUCCUGGUUUCAGUCAUGUACAUGAUGAAACCACAAGAUUGCAUAGGACUGGUCCAUCUUUUGAGGUGGCCGAUGAUAUUGAUCUUGGUAUAGGAUUUAGUGCAGACAAGGUGAAGGGAAACCACAUGAGGAAAUCAAUGCCGCAUAUGUGUAAUUUUACCUCUGGGGAACAGAAUUUUGGUAGUGAUCUAAAUCUUCAGAAUGAGUUCAUCAGAAAUGAUUCUCAUUCCAGUGAGGCGUUCAUUACUGUAUCUGGCAUCAGCCUCAAAAGUAUUCCAUCCCAAGCGCCAGCACCCUCACGUCCACCUCCUGUUGAGAAAAAGGGGGACAUCAAUGGAUUUCAUUCAAACAGCACGCUGGAUGCUUCUGAAGAGAAAAGUAGAGGUUACUGUUCACCUCCUUUUUUGGAUGUAGAGUUUGGUAUGAAUUCAUCUGGCGCAGCUUCUGAUGAUGCUUUGAAAGAAGCAAUGCGUAGAGCUGAAGCUAAGCUUAGGAGUGCUAAAGAAUCUAAGAAGGGGACAAAGGGGGUUUAUGAAAGCCAUGUAAAAUCAAGUUAUGUUGUAAAAAACAAUGGACCAAAGUCGACUGAGGAUAUGUCUAGAUUAAAUAGUUUGAAUGAUGAGACAAUGCAGGAAAGUUUUGAUAGAAGACAUUCCAAAAUGAAAACUUCUGUCAAAGAUGAAAGGCAGAAACCUAGGAAGGCUUUCCCAAAAGCUCUGGACACUUUGGAAGGGGAAAGAGUUUUAAACAUGUUUGAGGACAAGCACACCAAGCAAUCCUGGUCAUCUCAAGAAUCAGAUAAGAGAACUGGAGCUCGGAUAUGGAAAGAAGAACCUGAAUUUUUUGAAUUGGAGGGAACAAAAGAUCCUGGAAUGGUAACUCAGCAUACAGAGCAGACUAAGAUUUUGGUGCAAGAUACUGGAAACCAAGAGCAUAUCUGGAUGGAAAGAGAAGCAUCUGAUAUGCAAGAAAACAAUAAAAAAGUAAAAGCUAUUAAAGAAAAUUACCAGUGGGAGGAAUAUGAUAAAAAACCCAAAGCUGCAAAAGCGGCUUAUGAACAUGACAAAAACAUUAUGAGAUCUGAAGCAUCUGAUGAGAAAUGGAGGCAAAGAGAGCAUGUGAAGAAGGAAAAUGUGGCUAAAAUGUUUGAGCUGGAGAAGAAUGUAACAAUAGGCCACCAGCAUGGAAAAAUUGAAGAGAAAGCAACUGAAGCUGACCAAUCAGGAAGCGUAGAAUUAGAAGAUGUACCUGAUGUGGAACACACGGAGCAUAAGCAAGUGAAAAUCCAGAAACCUAAAGAGGUUCAUAGACAAACACCAAAUGAAGAUCCGUUGAGCAUGAGCCUUAAGGAAAACGAGAAGAAACCAAAAGAGGUUGUAAAGCUACAGCAGAAUGUGAAAAAGCACAAGCUGUCUGUGAAAAUGAAAGAAAGUGGAAAGCCACGCAGUGAAGCAUUUGCUCUAGGACAAACUAAGGAUGAGGAAAAACUGGAAGAUUUUGUGGAGCUGGAAGACAUUGAAAGACCAAAGGAAGAAUUUAAGCAGAGUCACACAGGUGAAAGUGUGGCUGGCAGAGUAGAAAAUGAAAUAAGGUUUAAACUAACUAACCAAAUUCUGAACAAGAAAGGGCUGAAAGAAGCUCUUGAAAGAGUAGAAACUGAGAAAAGCUUCCAAGGUUCUUUUGAAAAAGAGGAAAGUAAUGAGGGCCUAAGACAUGCUUUUGAGUGGGAUGAUAAUGAAAAGAAACACAAAGGAGACUUUCAACUGGAUGUGAAUGAGAUAAGACUGAAAGAGGCUUUUAAGCAGAGGGUAAAUAAUGAGAUGGAAAAUGAGGUAUAUGAAAGAGGUCAAAAUAGAAAGAAUUUUGAAGAAGCCUGUCAUGGAUAUGGAGAAGGAAGAAGACUUACAGAAGCUGCUAAAAACACAGGGGCUCAGAAAGUUCUGAGUGAAGCUCCAGAGAAAGAACAAAAAGAUGAAGUGGUAAUUGGGGAUCAAAGGAAAAGAGAAAUUGAGAUCAUGUUAAAUGAAACAUUUAUAAGGGAAGGAAGUACAACUUUAUCAAACAAGAAUAGUCUCCCAAAGCAAUUCGAGAAUAUGGGCAUAGAUGUUGGGAGAAUGGAAAAAUAUGAGGGUCCGGAUAAAGCUUUGGACAAAAUGGAAGGGAAUGAAGGAGAAAAUGUGAAUUUUACUGAAGUAACUGAUGAAACAUGGGAAACAGAGAGUGAUGAAGAACUUUUUGAGUCAGCCUCCACUCAUGAUGAAAAUGUUUCUAGACCGGAGGUAUCCCAAGAAUCUGUUGCUGGCCAAGAAGUUGGAAAAACAAGAACUGGUUGCGGAGUCAGAGAAAAGAAUCUGGAAGGGAUAGGGAUAGAAAAUCCACCGGCUAAAGAGAAAAUCAGAGCACCUGAAAUGGUCCCCGGAGACACGGAGCAUUCAGGGACCCAAUCAGGAAAGGUGGAUGACACUGUGGCAGAAGCUGACUAUAGAAGAAGCACAAAAGCAGCUGAACCUACUACUGUGAAGGAAUCUGUAAAUGUCCUGAAAACUGCUGAAUGUUCUCAUGCUGGUCAAUCCACAGAAAGAAAAGAAAAGAGUUUUAAUGAAACUACUUUGGUGAAUAAUGCUGAAAGGAUGAGAAGAGAAAGUGAGUCAGAAAAAGAUUAUCUUAGAAAGAUAGAAGGGGAGAGAGAUAGAGAAAGGGAAAGAGAAAAGGACAGAAUGGCUGUUGAGAAAGCGAGGCUGGAUGCUGAGAGGGAAAGGGAAAGAAAAAAGGAUAGGAAGGCUGUAGAUAGAGCAAUUUUUGAGGCUCGUGACCGGGCAUAUGCUGAAGCUUGUGAGAGAGCAGAAAGGGCUGCCUUUGAAAGGGCAACUGCAGAAGUUCAGCAAAGAGCACUGGCUGAGGCCAAGGAAAGACUUGAGAAAGCAUGCGCUGAGGCCAGGGAUAAGUCAUAUCUUGAUAAGGUAACAAUAGAAGCCAGACUGAAAGCAGAACGCGCUGCUGUAGAAAAGGAAACUGUAGAGGCUCAAGAGCGUGCCAAGGAAAAAUUAAAGGAUGAGAAGGCUACAUUGGAGUCCAGAGAACGUUUAGAGAGAUCAGUAUCUGACACCCUUGGUUUUUGUUCCAGAGAAGGUGCAAGGCUAGACUCUUCACUCUCUGACUUAAGCUCUUCUGAGGGUUGCAGAUAUCCAUAUUCACUUUAUGGUGCUGCUUCUUUUUCUGAGAGAUCAGAAAGAGAAGGUGAAUCAGCUCAGAGGUGUAGAGCUAGACUGGAGAGGCAUCGCCGAACAGCUGAGCGUGCAGCUAAAGCUUUGGCGGAAAAAAAUAUGCGUGACCUUGUAGCUCAGAAAGAGCAAGCUGAGAGAAACAGAUUAGCAGAGUCUCUGGAUGCUGAAGUAAGGAGGUGGUCAGGUGGAAAAGAAGGAAAUUUGCGUGCAUUACUUUCUACCUUGCAAUAUAUCCUUGGGCCUGAUUCUGGGUGGCACUCAAUCCCAUUGACAGACGUCAUCACUGCUGUUGGUGUGAAAAAAGCUUACAGGAAAGCCACUUUGGUUGUCCAUCCUGACAAAUUACAGCAACGUGGAGCAAGUAUUCAACACAAAUACAUAUGUGAAAAGGUCUUCGAUCUUUUGAAGCCCUGUUUCUCUUUUUUUAACCUAUUCAACCAAGCACAAUCAAAAUGAGGGCAUUAUCAAUCAAUAGGGAUUGAGUAGGGAUCAAGUACAAAGUUUGGUGCCACCAGGCUAUUAAGAGCUUUGGUAGAUUGGCUCAUUUAUUCGGAGCAGAUCAGUAUCAUUUUCUAGGGUCUUAGUGUUUGAGGAAGCGUGGAACAAAUUCAACUCAGAGGAGCGAUAGCAUGCCAGCAUUCCAAGUCUGUGUUUUUCCCUCUCUUGCAAGCAGGUAGUUCCCUUCCCAAGACACGUGCAAUCUCUCUGUCCAAAACUUCAGUAAUUAUUGUGUCAUAGUCCAUUUUCUGCAACAAUACUCUCCCAAAUGAUGUACCUAUGUAGAAAAUUUCAGCCCCAGUUUCACAAGAAAUCAAUUAAAAAAAUUCAGAAGGAUGAGACAAAUACUAGCUAGCUUGUAUGACCGUAGUUGGGACUUUGUUGUUAUUUUUUAAUUCAGGUGUAAGAAUAGAAACACCAUGAAACUGAGCAGAAUUGGCAGGAUGCUCCGGAAGCCAGUGUGUUAGCAAGACAAUUUGUACCUAUUUGACCAUUCUUUAGUGGUGCAAGUAGCCGUUCUUAUCAUAUGCACUCCUUAAAAAAGUAGGAAUGACGAAAGUACCUAUUAGAGUGGUAUUUUUUUUAAUUGAAGUUGAUACUGACCUCUACCUCGUUAUCCCUAACUAUUCCCAUCCCUAACUGCAGUCAAGAACCAGCACUUAUAUGUACUCUAAGUGAUUGGCAGAUUCUGAUGCAUACCAUUAAAUUAUAUGAAUGGAUUUGUUUUUCUUUUAUUUA